rnacentral:rRNA from 1 species
UACGUAGGGGGCAAGCGUUGUCCGGAUUUACUGGGCGUAAAGCGCGCGUAGGCGGAACGAUCAGUCCGGUCUGAAAGCCCCGGCUCAACCGGGGAGGGUGGCUGGAAACUGUCGUUCUUGAGGGCGAGAGAGGAGGGUGGAAUUCCUGGUGUAGCGGUGAAAUGCGUAGAGAUCAGGAGGAACACCCGUGGCGAAGGCGGCCCUCUGGCUCGACCCUGACGCUGAGGCGCGAAAGCGUGGGGAGCGAACGGG